UUAUUAAAUCGUGUUUCCAAGGGUGACUACUCUCGGCACCUCUACUGUAGAUAAUAAUAGCGAACGAGUAAACUGCGUAUCGCAGUGGAUGUCGGGUCGGGGCCGUCUAGUGCACGUGUAAUUAUGCUAAAAUACGUGAUAACACUGAUAGUAAUAUAGACAACUCAUAAUAUACAUACAGUUAGGAGCAAAACAGGGCCAAGACAGUAACUACUUAAGUAGAAAUAUAAUAAUAAACAGUGAAAGAUUUUAGAACCUAAACGUACUUUAAGAAUAAGCUUUCAUAUUAAAGAGAACUGAACAUACAGGUCAAUUUACAAGAGCUGGUACGAAUGGAAUGAAUGAGUUGAAAAUAUCUACGUGUGUAUCACAUUAAAUUUAACCAAUAAAAUGGUGGCUCUGACAGUAAAUACCGAUACAGGUGUCACUCAUACAAUGAAAGUUUCGUUCAUUUGUUCAUUUUAUUCGUGCCAGCUUUCGUGAAACAACCUGUACAUUUAUCCAAUUUCAGUAAGUCAUUGGUUUACUUUUACACCCAAAAGUAUUCGAAAAAUAUCACGUACACAAUUAGUAUCAAUACAGUAAAGAGAAAUUAUCUGUUUGUGCAUGGGAUGAGAGAUGAUAACAUUGAUAACUACGUUUUAAAUAUGUUUUCUUACAUUAAAUUAACAUUAAUUGUACAUAAAAGAACAUUUAUAAAAUUAUAUAGACAAUAUACUUAUGUUUAAAGCAUUGUGCGUAUUAAUAUUAUAAAAAUAAUUCGGAUUUCUUAUUAACAAAAAUAAAACAUUCUAGAAUUACUUCAAUUCGUAUGGCACGGCCGGGAUUUUCUGUUUUUAACAUAGAGAGUGAAUAACAUAUGUUCAUUUAUAAAUCUCAUCAGCUCAUUCCACAGAAAAAUAACGUGAUUACGACAUUUACGACUACUUAACUAAAACAUUUUAUAGAAAAAGUUCCCUGGGUUCAUGAACAUACCUACAUCGUUUUCAAAAACUUAUUAUGGCCACAAAUAAUUUAAAAACAUACAAAGGAGACUAACAUGGCUUACCUACAUGCAUUAUUGUGUUAACUAACGGUUUCUCGCGUCAUCGUCUACAAAUCCGCUAACUACAUAGAAUGCGCGUCAGUUUUUUGGGUAAAAUUUAACAUCAAAAAAUUGUGAUGGUCGCAUUAAUAUAUAAUUCUCCUGGCAAAUAUCCGACUCAUUGAAUUCGUUUCUAUGAUUCAGCACGAAAUAAUUGCAAUAAAAAUAAGUAAAGAAUGGCACGUAAACUAGUGAACGAUUUUAAGGUAAAUGCAAUUCAAUAUGAGCCUCUUCAUAUUGAGACCUGAGUGACACCCCUGGUUACAUAGUAUUAACAAUACCAAAGAGAGAUAGAACUAUUAAUAUUACACAGAUUAUUAAGGCGCAUUUACAGAUACAUACGUUUAAGAUUAUUUAUCAAACAUCUCUACACUUAUAUACUAAGGACCUUUAAAGCAGUGCAAUGCUUCACAAUAAUAAGCUGUAAUUAUGAUAAAUUCAGAAGCAUUACUUAUAAGUUAUAAAUGUCAUAACAAUAAUAAUUGAAAUGCCCCAUCAAAUUUAUAAAAUAAUGUCAGAUCAAAAUGAUAAUUCUAAGUUAAUGUAAUAAUAGAUUAUUUAGUUAGCCAGGCAGAUUCCGUGUUCCAUGUGUAGAUAGGUAAAUAGGUGCAAGUACCUAGAGACCUGAUCCCAGCGAUCCCAUUGUCGGAAACACAGAUAAUAUACACUAACAAUGACAGUCUUUACGAAAUGUUAUUUUUAAACAUCUCCCGGAAUGAUGCCAGUCUCUCCACUUUUGCGGUCCAGACCGAGAAAAACGAGUCGUCAAUGCCUAUGCCGCUCCAGAGGGGCUACCGCGAAAACCGAAAUUCGCGAAUUGCGGGGAUCUUUCUCUUUUACUCCAAUGAAGGCGUAAUAAGAGUGACAGAGAAAGCGGUUAUAGCCCUUUUAUUUCUCGUCAAUAAUGUCACCCGCAGCAUUUACCUUCAUCACAGCGAUAGUAUGCUAUAAAAUGUUGAUCACUAUACAGAUAGAUAGUAGAUACGCCAUAAAUGUUGAUCACUAUACAGUUACUUAUAUGUAUAGGUCACUCAACAAGAGAACCUACACAUUAAGUCUCAUUUUAGGGUUAGAUAGAUCUAGUAAGGCUAAGUUUCAACAGCGCAAUAACAAGCAUUACGAUCAACCAAUUGGAACCCUAGGCCAGCAUAGAAUCAUAUGAAACGAACGUAAAAAAACUUACAAGAAACCAGUUUCUAUGUUGACUUUAAAACAUAUCUACGGUGGUCUGGGUUCAUUUGGUAAGGUACUGAUCCUACAGGUAACACUUUCGUUCAACAUACUGUGUACACAGUUAAUACAAUUAUGUCACGCCGUCGUUACUUUUCUUGCAUCGUUGCCUACAUUCCAAGCCUACAAUCAUUUGACGGGCUGCGUCGUAGAAUAAUCAUGAUUAUGGCACUGGUCCCACCGCGAGCUAGUAAGCUUAUGAGCUAUCGGCUAUAAACACGAACAAAAGAUAAGCACUCCCGUGUAAAUAAAAAUGACACGGCGAUAUUUAUAGCUCACUGCUGGGCGAGUAACUAUAAAUAUCGCCGUGUCUUUUUUAUUUACACGGGAGUGCUUAUCUUUUGUUCGUGUUUAUAGCCGAUAGCUCAUAGCUUACUAGCUCGCGGUGGGACCAGGGCCUAUAGUGGAAACAUACAUGUUGCAUUGUAAAUCUUCCGGUGGCACAAAUCGACGAAAUCGCAUGACACACUUUUGUUAUAUAAUAAGAUAUUUUAAGUAAAUAUCGACACUGACACAUUGACAGGUUUUUAAGUGUGUUGCUGUCGAUAUCCUCGUCAAAACUCGUUUGGUUUACCUACUCAUAAGAGAACCGAAACGAAUUAUGUUUUUUACUGUUAAAUCUUUUUCCGUGUGAGCCAUUAAUUUCAAUUUGAAUUUACGAUCCUGUCUUUUUAAAUUUAUGUAAGGUGCAAUAGAUAUUACAUAUGUUGCUGACACUGUCACUUUCAUUUCUAUAAAUAUGCAAAUAUUAUAAUAUCAUGUUACUUAUAAUACAUAUGAGUGAAUCAAAUAUUUCUUGUUAUUCUGUCACGUCAGCCAGGCGACUAUAGUAGCAUUAGUUUGUUAAAAGAACUAUUGUACCAUGUUCUAUUGUAGUGCUUGGUCGAUUUCGAAUUGUGGAAAGGGAUUAUAUAUAACUACCACAAAUAUGCAUGUUUGGUUAAUUUAAAUGCCAUAAAACUUUAAUUUAAAGAGUGACCCAGGUGACCGUAACUAUGGCAACGAGUAACAAGAAAAAGUUGAUUCACCUUACGCAAUUUAUGCAAUAUACAUACCUUGAUAUAGAUAUAAUAAUAAUUACUUGAAAUUAAAUUGCGCGGGAAUUUAAAGCACGGACGGAAGAUUUUAUUUUGUGGACGCUACACGGAAACGAAAUACAUAUAACGGUACCUAAGGUGCAUUGGGGUUAUUCGUGACUGGACUCGAACUAUAGUUCUCACGACUUGUGUUUUUUUUUUCAUGAAACUGAUGCCAUUAUUAUUGCUUUAUUCAACAACGACAACGUCAACAGUCAACACGGACGGAAGACGGUCAGUCAACGUUUAGUUUAACAGUAGAUAUCAAUGCAUUGAGAAAACACUUGUGUUUACAAAUACAUCUAGGUAUUUUCUGUUUUAAUAAGAAAAUUAAAUAUUUUAGAAAAUUUCGGAGUUAACUGAAUAACCUUUGCACUGAAUACUUAACCCCAAUGCAUCUAAACUUACUAACAAAAUUAUAUAAUGUCGUUUUUAUAAUAAAUCGAAUUUGUAAACUGAAUA